rnacentral:rRNA from 1 species
AGGCAGUAGGGACUUUCCUGUGCCCCCGAUUUACCACCGGGAUGUUCAUAACCCUUUGUUGUCCGACUCUGUUGCCUCCGGGGCGACCCUGCCUUCGGGCGGGGGCUCCGGGUGGACACUUCAAACUCUUGCGUAACUUUGCAGUCUGAGUAAACUUAAUUAAUAAAUUAAAACUUUUAACAACGGAUCUCUUGGUUCUGGCAUCGAUGAAGAACGCAGCGAAAUGCGAUAAGUAAUGUGAAUUGCAGAAUUCAGUGAAUCAUCGAAUCUUUGAACGCACAUUGCGCCCCCUGGUAUUCCGGGGGGCAUGCCUGUUCGAGCGUCAUUUCACCACUCAAGCCUCGCUUGGUAUUGGGCAACGCGGUCCGCCGCGUGCCUCAAAUCGACCGGCUGGGUCUUCUGUCCCCUAAGCGUUGUGGAAACUAUUCGCUAAAGGGUGCUCGGGAGGCUACGCCGUAAAACAACCCCAUUUCUAAGGUUGACCUCGGAUCAGGUAGGGAUACCCGCUGAACUUAAGCAUAUCUUUUAACCCGGAGGAA